UGAAAGAUACACUCAGCUGAAAUAAGAGCAUAUAAAUCUGGCUGGCUGGGCUGAUUAAAUUAAAAAAAAAAAAGAGAGAGAAAUGUAUGCACAGUUAUAGCUCAGUGAGCCAGUCCAGUCCCUUAAUAGCCUGAAGUUUGGCUCUUCGAACUUCCAAGCAGUUCAGGAUUCCUACUUCCCAGGCUCCAAGCACUGAGUUUGCUACGUCUCCAACUUCCAGUGGGUAGAAAGGAGCAGAGGUUAGCAAUGCUGCUUUCAGCUCUGCUUGCAUGUUCCAGUUGGCAAUGCAUCUUGUUUAUGAGGUAGCUAAGGGUACGGAUGCCAACCGAGAAGAAAACUGAAUUUAAAUGGAGAUUGGAAGAAUGACCAGAAUAAAGAUUAAUGGAAGAAUAACAUGCCUGUUCCAAAUAGUGUUAACCAAUAUUAACUAAAGCCACUAAUUCCAAGAAAGGGCUUGAGAGAGGCAUUUCUGAGCUGUUACAAAGGCUUUUUAAAUCUUAACCAUACUGCCUAUACAUUGCAUGAGAGCAUGGAGUUGAUGGUUAAAAGGAAUAGACUGCUCUAAGACUUGCAGUUGAAUGAGGACUUUGUGCAUUAAAGAAAAUUAUGGAAAGCCAUUUUGUGGGCUGGGGGCGGAGGGUGGAAAGACUUGAUGUGCAUUGUCAACUAAAUUAAUGAACUGUCAUCUAUCCAGUGAGUUUACCAAAGAGCCUACAGAAAUGUGAACAAAUGGAUAUCACCAGAGCCACAGAUGCUCAGGUGCUGUUUUGUUUUCCUGGGUUUUUCCACACAAACUGAGGAAACAUUGUGUCUGGAAAAUUACAAGGCCAGCUCGUGCCAGAAGCUAUUGCUGGAGAAACAGCCCAGUGACGCCAUUAAACAGGCCACAGUUAAUUAGUAGCAAACCCUGAAGAUGUUUCUUACAUUAUGACACAGAGAGAUAGUGGAGAAAGCAAGAAAAAGAAAAAUCUGGAUAGGGGACUUUGAAAUGGAAUGUUUCUUAAAAAAAUUAAUAUGGAAGAAUUAAAAAAAAAAAAGCUCGGGAAUGUAAGGUUGUCAGUCUUUUCUUCCUCCAAGUACAAGUGCUUGAGAUAUUUUCAAAAACUAGCAACAACUCUGUGUGACAGCAUCCUCUCCUGCUGUGUGCUACCCCAGGAAUGUGCCUGGGGAAAGUGCCACAGUGGUGAAAACGCAUGUGUGGAAAAGGGGUUCUCCAAUGCACGUGUUCACUGGGUGUGCAUGAGUAGUGUCUGGAAACGUCUCUUUGUGCUGAUGCUCAUGCCCUGUAAUUCUAAUACAACAAUUAUUUUAUAAUCCUUUAUUAUAUUUUUAACUAAUUUAAAGUUCAAAGUAGAUUAUCCAUAUAGCUCAGUUAUUUAAAUGCUAAAGUCUCUUUUUACACACCAAAAAGAGGGAAAUUUAGAUAUUUCACCUCUAAUGCCCCAUGAUAAUUUUUCCCCUUCUUUCAAAAACAGCUGCAAAACAAAUAAAUAAAGUGAAAGUGAAACGUUCAGGGCCAGAAACUGUUUCUCUUUGCUGCUCCUCAGAGGUCAUUACAAAGGUUUAAUCCCCACUUGCAGUUCUGUAAGACAAGCAAACCACAGGCAGUGAUAGACCAGGACUUGAGGCUGUGCAUUAUUGCAGAGUUGCUCUAUCUGACUGACGUGGGCACCCUCACUGUGUACCUGCAUGGCCUCAUCAGUGGGAGCAGCCGGCACUACCAGAAGUGAUUCAAGCCAGGCAAGAUAUGGAUUGUGAUCCGGAGGUGUUGAGACAUAGGAGUGUCACUUAGGGAUAUGGUUUAGUGAUGAACACAGUGGUGCUGAGUUAAUGGUUGGACUCGAUGACCUUAGAGGUCUUUUCCAACCUAAAUUAUUCUCAUUCUUUGAUCUCCAGACACCUGAAGAGGUUAGCCCAGAAGACUAUUUACCUAAUUCAGUCACCAUGCAAGUCAGCAGUGACAAACACAAUCAUUCACCCCCUCGUCCCCAACGGAUUGUGUGCACCUGCUUCCAAACAAUCCAGAAGAUAACGAUCCUAGCCCAUGGCAUGCUGCAUGCCAUAUCUGCCACCUAUUGCCUUGGAAAAAAGCAGUAUUUGCUGCUAGUGGUUUGCCUAUUGUUCAUGGCCAUUUUAAUUUGGGUUAAGUUUAAUUUGUGUCAAAAUUUGUUCUCACCUCAUUAUAGCCCUAUAAUAUUUGGCCUACCAUUUCAAUCACCAAAAUGUACACACUCUGCUCAACCAAAUAUAUUUGAGCAUUUUGGUUUUCCUUUAUUUUGAUUCUAUUUUUUCCAACAAGAUAUAGAACAGUAUUCACUAGAGAUUUAACAACUUUGGUACAGGCACUGUACCAUAAGCAAAAGUAGAAAUGACUAGAAAGCUUCCUGGAUUUUAUAAAAUUUCAAUAAAAAUAAGAUGAUUCUAAAUAGUUAUCAAAUACCUUGCUCAAAACUAUUCUUUGUUGAUGGACAGAAUUAUAGUUGAAGUCAUAGUUGUCCAGUAACUCCUUUGUGUUUCCUUUUUACAUGGUCUUAUGACAGUUUCUAUUUAUGUUUCUAUUUCUUCAGUUAAUAGAGGGGGGGAAAGUAUAUAUUCUCUUUACAAAUGUAGGUGGGACAGAUAUGCAGAUAUACAACAGAUAUACCCAUGUACAAAUCAUGUCUAAAUAUUUGGCCUCUUCCAUCUGCAAAACCCUGCAGAAAAAUAAAGAAAACCUAAUUUUGCUACAAUCAUUUUGAAAACAAUGACUUAAUCUGCUAGUGAAUUUAUUAUAUUAAUCUGUCUGCUUGAUUUAUCUGUGUUAAUUAUUUUUUAAAGGAGCAGUAGUAAAAAUAACAAGUGGAAGAAUCAUAUGCAAAUGUGAUGUCUAAAGAGCAGUCAUCAUACUGGAAAAUAAUUAGCUAUUCAUAAAUGGUCAAGUUGAAUUUACUCUGUAUAACAGACUGAAACAUAAACCAUUAUAGGCAAGUUCCCCUGCUCCUGAUAAGACAUAUUUUAAAUUUAGAUUUUUAAUAUUUUAAUUUAGAUUUGAUAUCCUAAUUUUAUUCUUUUCCCUCUGGCUAGCAAUGCUAGGUGUUAUUCAGGUUAACAUCACCCUUUGCAUUUAUUUUCUUUCUCUUUAUAAUGUCAAAAAAUAAAAUUUAAAUAUAUUCACACACACUUGUAAGGGCUUUGGAAAUUAUGCAGCAAGAUUUUUGCAGAUCUUUUCUCCUGUCAGGUUUCACUAACACAUAUACUUACCAAUUCCCUUCUAGUGGUUCCUUUCAGGAGAUCAGCUGCAUUAAUUUAACUCUUCUACUGUAAUUUCAGGAGACUGAACCCAGGAUAAAAGGAGCUUGGUGACUGAUUCUGCCUUUUGCUAUCAUUUGCUUGGUCUGAAGAUAAUGGUGGCAACAUUGACAGUGGUAUAAAAAAAAAAAAAAAAGAGGUGUACUUUAGGCUUACAUUCUGAGAAACACAAGACAGUUGUCCAAAGACAGAGAGAAAGGGAGAGGUUGUUGAGAAAAAAGCUGAGAAAAUAUGUCAGCUUUGAAAAAGCAUCUUUUUGACCUAAAUCUUUCCUGUUGGGCUCCUCUUCCAUAUGUUCAGCUUAUCCAAGCAGCCAACCCAGCACUCCACUGCCACCACCAUCUAUCUGAGGGCGCACCAUGACUUUCAGUUCUCCAGAUUCCUGCACCAUCCUCAUCUUUCCACCCAGCAGUGGAAAAGGACCGUUCAGCUGGUGGGCUUGCUGGUACUGACAGCCACACUGCAUGGGAGGCAGAAGGGUGUGAGACCUGCAGAUCCUCUACAUCCCCAGCACAUGCUACGAUUUAGAUAUGCUUGCCCAGGGGUGGGAUUGUGUGUGUGCGUGCAUAAGUCUCCACGUCCUUCCCAGAAUGCCUUCUACUGCCUUGAGCCCCAAACAGCUCUGGAGAGCCAUGUCCCCAUGGGAGAGACAGCUCUCAAGAAAAAUAUGUGCCUCACAAUAUAAAUAACUAAGAUGCACCUCAACCUCUUCUCCACAAUUUUUUCAAUAUAUAUACUCUAAGGUUUCUAAACAACAGCAAAGAAAAGGGCAUUAUUAAGCUCCUUCAUAGUAAAGAAAAACA